GAUGAAGAACGCAGCGAAAUGCGAUAAGUAAUGCGAAUUGCAGAAUUUCCGUGAGUCAUCGAAUCUUUGAACGCACAUUGCGCCCACUGGUAUUCCGGUGGGCAUGCCUGUUCGAGCGUCAUUAUCCUCCCUCAAACCCCGGGUUUGGUGUUGGACCCAAGUUGUGUGAACAACUGGUCUCAAAGACAAUGACGGCGUCCGUGGGACCCUCGGUGCAACGAGCUUUUAGGAGCACGCAUCGAGUUGCAAGGACCUUCCGGGCCGGUCUCCUCUACCAUUUUACAAGGUUGACCUCGGAUCAGGUAGGAAUACCCGCUGAACUUAAGCAUAUCUAGCGGAGGA
rnacentral:misc_RNA from 1 species